rnacentral:rRNA from 1 species
AACGAACGCUGGCGGCAUGCCUAACACAUGCAAGUCGAACGAGACCUUCGGGUCUAGUGGCGCACGGGUGCGUAACGCGUGGGAACCUGCCCUUAGGUUCGGAAUAACUCCCCGAAAGGGGUGCUAAUAUCGGAUAAUGUCUUCGGACCAAAGAUUUAUCGCCUUUGGAUGGGCCCGCGUUGGAUUAGCUAGUUGGUAGGGUAAAAGCCUACCAAGGCGACGCUCCAUAGCUGGUUUGAGAGGAUGAUCAGCCACACUGGGACUGAGACACGGCCCAGACUCCUACGGGAGGCAGCAGAGGGGAAUAUUGGACAAUGGGCGAAGGCCUGAUCCAGCAAUGCCGCGUGAGUGAUGAAGGCCUUAGGGUUGUAAAGCUCUUUUACCCGGGAUGAUAAUGACAGUACCGAGAGAAUAAGCACCGGCUAACUCCGUG